UACGUAGGUGGCAAGCGUUGUCCGGAUUUACUGGGCGUAAAGAGCGCGUAGGCGGGACGGCAAGUCGGUCGUGAAAUCCCUCGGCUCAACUGAGGAGCGUCGAUCGAAACUGCCGUUCUUGAGGGUUGCAGAGGAGACUGGAAUUCCCGGUGUAGCGGUGAAAUGUGUAGAGAUCGGGAGGAACACCGGUGGCGAAGGCGGGUCUCUGGGCAACUCCUGACGCUGAGGCGCGAAAGCGUGGGGAGCAAACGGG
rnacentral:rRNA from 1 species